GAGGAUAUAGCUCAGCGGUAGAGUUCGUGCCUAGUGUGCAGUGAGGUCCUGGGUUCAAUCCCCAGUACCUCCU
rnacentral:tRNA from 1 species